AUGCUACUCCCUCCGUCCAAAAACACUUGUCAUCGAAAUGGAUAAAAAGGGACGUAUCUAGAACUAAAAUACGUCUAGAUACAUCUCCUUUUAUUCAUUUUGAUGACAUGUAUUCCCAGACGGAGGGAGUACCUU
rfam:Triticum aestivum genome assembly, contig: Triticum_aestivum_CS42_TGACv1_scaffold_221900_3B